CAAUGUAAUGUUUUGUAGGAGUUCGAAUUAUUCUGUACCUCAAGAGAGAGGAACAACGGACAUUGAGGAUUGCGGUGGCUGAUUUUUUAAUUUGUGUUUGCCUCAAGGAUUCUCAUUUAUCUUAACUUCCAUUUACUCAAGACAAUUACAACAUUGCUUCAUGACGAAGUAAAAUAAAAGCUUAUGACAGAAGAAACUUGCUUCGAUAGGCGUCCUUGUCGACCUCGCAAUUUCCAACCCAUCCUUAGGUAUUGCAGCUCCUUCCAAUCCGGUUCACUCCUUUUUGACAAUUUCCUUACAUGAGCCUUGGAGAUAUGCACUGAAUCGGCUAAUGUUUGCUCUGGGAAUUUCCUUUUGUAGAGAGGAUGUCUUGCCGAAUGUAGUUUUUAGUUCUUGAUCUUUUUUAUACAAGAUAUCUAAAUACUGUAAUGACUCUUGCUGGGAAGAAGGUUGUCAUAUAAGGGGAAAACUUUAGAAUUUACACGACGUAAUUUAAAUCAUGUGCAACUUGUUUGCUUCCUUGUUGUUUUAUUGCAUUCGAGAUCUUUACUAUUUUCACUAUCGAAAAUGUAGAGCAGAUCUUUAGUAUCUUGAAUUAUCAGUAAAAUUUUUUAGUUGUGAGAUGCAUAUGAUUCUGCCUUCAUUCACAACCAUUCAUGUGGAUUAUUCGGUUUGGUUGGUCGUUUUUGGUACUUUCAUGCCAUCUGAUUAUGUGGUAGAGUGCUUCCGAACUGUGUGUGGGGCCGGGUGUUGUCGGCUAGACCUUGGCGCCCUCGCCGGCGACUUGCUAUCUAACCCAUCCAUAGGUUUUCCCUCUCUUUGAUUUUCCUGUCCAAGUCCAUGAUUUGGUUUAUCUUGGUUGGCAUGCUUUUUUAUGUUACCUUGGUGGUCGAUGCAAUGAGAGGGCAAAUGCAAGGCAAGACGACAUUAUAUAGGUUGUCAUGUGAGUUAGAAUAUCCAUGUGCUACUUAUUGUGGUGUGGCAUCAAGCAUGUUGAUUGAUUCUGAAGCAUGAGUAAACUGUAGUAAGCUGUGUGUACAGAUUCCUGAUUAUUCUGUAUGAUCCUCUAUUUUUUUCCUUUAUGAUCCUCUUUAUUGUGGUGCGACACCAAGCUUGGGUUAUUUACUUGCUUCCACUGUGAUUUCUAGGGAGGGCACUUUAUUGAUUUCUCAAACCUUGGAUCUAGACAUGUAAAUAGUUAAAUGAUUAUUUUGCUUUUCGAUUAAAUAUGAUACUAACUAAACCUGUCUAUCUUAUACAAGCUGCAAUCUGUUCUGAAAAUUCUGUUUAUAAGGUACCAUCAGCUAUGACCCUAAUGGACCCCGAAUAAAAAGGAGAAAACAUUUGACACUUAUCAUGGCCAACCAUGAAACCGUGUUUCAGAAACUGCAUCAUAGCACAUAUUUCAACAAUCGUUUCCUGGUUUGUAAUAUGUACUAGCCUUCUGAAAAAGACUGAGGCUGCACUUGUUCCUGUCAGGUUGUCAUGUUACAAAAAGGCCUAUCUACAAAUAGGUGGACAAGAUAAAACAUUAAAAAUAGACUAGAGCACUUUCCAUCUCCAUUGAUAAGAAUUAGUGGCAUGAUUGAAGGGCGAGACUACCAGCUGGUGAAGGAGAGGAUAUGUAUUCGGCGUGUCCUGAAGAGGUAGUCCACGAACCGGCAAUGGAGGAAAUAAGGUAGAGAUGGCAAUAGCAGCAAGUACGUCAAGCGCUAGGGAUGUGGAUAUGGUGUGGCAUAAAGAGGUAGUCCACAAACCUCUGCUAGGUGCUCCUCUCUCACUUCUUGCAUCCUCUGGGGAUAUUCCUUCAUUAUUUGGUUACCUGUCAAUGCUCGGUCCUAUUUCCCACCUUGUGCUUUGACUUCUUGCAUUUUUUCCGUCUAAGUUAUUAGGCUACUGCUGCCUGGUUUGCCCAUGAUGAACCACUAAUUAUGAUGCACUGCUGGCUGGU